AUUGAACGCUGGCGGCAUGCCUUACACAUGCAAGUCGAACGGCAGCACGGGAGCAAUCCUGGUGGCGAGUGGCGAACGGGUGAGUAAUAUAUCGGAACGUGCCCAGUCGUGGGGGAUAACGUAGCGAAAGCUACGCUAAUACCGCAUACGAUCUAUGGAUGAAAGCGGGGGAGUCGCAAGACCUCGCGCGAUUGGAGCGGCCGAUAUCAGAUUAGCUAGUUGGUGGGGUAAAAGGCUCACCAAGGCGACGAUCUGUAGCUGGUCUGAGAGGACGACCAGCCACACUGGAACUGAGACACGGUCCAGACUCCUACGGGAGGCAGCAGUGGGGAAUUUUGGACAAUGGGCGCAAGCCUGAUCCAGCAAUGCCGCGUGCAGGAUGAAGGCCUUCGGGUUGUAAACUGCUUUGUACGGAACGAAACGGUGAGCUCUAAUAAAGACUUGCUAAUGACGGUACCGUAAGAAUAAGCACCGGCUAACUACG
rnacentral:rRNA from 1 species